rnacentral:rRNA from 1 species
UACGUAGGCAGCAAGCGUUGUUCGGAGUUACUGGGCGUAAAGAGUGCGUAGGCGGUCUUUUAAGUUUGGUGUGAAAUCUCCCGGCUCAACUGGGAGGGUGCGCCGAAAACUGGGAGGCUUGAGGAUGGGAGAGGCAUGCGGAAUUCCUGGUGUAGCGGUGAAAUGCGUAGAUAUCAGGAGGAACACCUGCGGUGUAGACAGCAUGCUGGACCAUUUCUGACGCUGAGGCACGAAAGCGUGGGGAGCGAACAGG